rnacentral:rRNA from 1 species
GGACGGGUGAGUAAUGUCUGGGAAACUGCCUGAUGGAGGGGGAGUAACUACUGGAAACGGUAGCUAAUACCGCAUAAUGUCGCAAGACCAAAGAGGGGGACCUUCGGGCCUCUUGCCAUCGGAUGUGCCCAGAUGGGAUUAGCUAGUAGGUGGGGUAACGGCUCACCUAGGCGACGAUCCCUAGCUGGUCUGAGAGGAUGACCAGCCACACUGGAACUGAGACACGGUCCAGACUCCUACGGGAGGCAAGCAUG